rnacentral:siRNA from 1 species
CGCUUAUGGCGGUUCUCAGUGA